GAACAAGCUAGUAGUGAUGUAUUUCAUUCUAAUGGAAGGGCAACCUUACAUGCAGCUACCAAAGGUAACUUUCAUCCUACCAUUCAAAACUUUAUUGAUCAAUACCCUCAAAUAUUUUGCUGAACCAACUUCCUUGCCACCCUCUGGAAGUCAUAAUCACAGUAUCCCUCUACAACCUGAUGCUAAACCUAUAAAUGUCAGACCUUAUAGCUAUCCCAUUGUUAAAAAAGAGAGAUUGAGAAGUUGGUGACUGAGAUGCUGGAUUCCAUAGUUAUCCAACCUAGUUCUAGCUCAUUUUCUUCCCCUGUUUUACUUGUUAGGAAGAACGAUGG
rnacentral:misc_RNA from 1 species